UCCCUGGUUGUCUAAUGGUUAGGACUUGACAUUUUCACUACCAGGGUCCAGGUUCAAUCCCUAGUCAGGGAA
rfam:TPA: Bos taurus chromosome 5, whole genome shotgun sequence.